UAAUAUUUUCAGUAAGUUUGAAUCACCAACCAGUUUUACUUUCUGCAGGGUUUCAAGUCAAGAAUUGAAGAUGUCAGGGAGGAAAUAUUAAGGAAACGUAGAGCUGGGAAAUUACCAGGUGACACAACUUCUGUGUUAAAGAAUUGGUGGCAGCAACAUGCAAAGUGGCCUUAUCCUACUGAAGAUGACAAGGCAAAACUUGUGGAGGAGACAGGGUUGCAGCUGAAGCAAAUUAAUAAUUGGUUCAUCAAUCAAAGGAAACGCAACUGGCACAGCAAUUCUCAAUCGGUUACCUCUUUGAAAUCCAAGCGCAAGAGGUAGACAUAUUUUGUCCCAACUAUGUGGCAUAGCUAGCAACACAACUUAUAUAAGGACUUACUAUAUAUAUAUGCUUAUUUCUGAUAGAGUCUAGUAUCCCUAAGGAUUCCGAUCAGAUGCACAAGAUAGUAGAUAGGUUACUGUAAUGUAAGAUAGCUGGAAAAAAAAA